AGAUCAUUGACUUCUGCCCCAAGCCUACCUGGGGGCAGGGGAACAUCAUCCCCAUUUUACAGAAGAGGCCUUUGAAGCACAGAGAUUAACUGACGUACUUAGGGUUUUGCAGCUCACUAGAGGCAGAGCCAAGACUCCACCCCAGGUGGCCAGGCUCCUGAGCGCUAUGCCUACCUCACCCUCCAAUGAGGUGGUGGUGGAGGAGACCGUGAGCCGCUGUCACCUGAACACUGGUGCACUCAGUCUGCUGCUCUGAGGACGCCGCCCCCUCUCUUUCUCUGUGUAAAGGCUUGAUCUCGACCCCUAAAGCCUGAAGCUUCUCCCUGUGGCCACCUCCCCACCGCAUCAUCUUCCGUUCUCAGCGGGUAGAUCCCUGCCCAGGGGGGACCCCCUGGGGAAGGCUGGGAGCAUGACCUCUUCCCAAGGGUACGGCAUCUAAAAGGGAUCUCCGGAACAUUGAAAAGCCAUGAAGGCCGGGCACAGCGGCUCACGCCUGUAAUCCCAGCACUUUGGGAGGCUGAGGGAGGAGGAUCGCUUAAGGCCAGGAGUUCAAGACCAGUCUGGACAACAUAGCAAGACCCGGUCUCUUUCUAUAAAUGAAAA
rnacentral:lncRNA from 10 species